rnacentral:rRNA from 1 species
AGAGUUUGAUCCUGGCUCAGAUUGAACGCUGGCGGCAGGCCUAACACAUGCAAGUCGAACGGUAGCACAGAGGAGCUUGCUCCUUGGGUGACGAGUGGCGGACGGGUGAGUAAUGUCUGGGAAACUGCCCGAUGGAGGGGGAUAACUACUGGAAACGGUAGCUAAUACCGCAUAACGUCGCAAGACCAAAGAGGGGGACCUUCGGGCCUCUUGCCAUCGGAUGUGCCCAGAUGGGAUUAGCUAGUAGGUGGGGUAACGGCUCACCUAGGCGACGAUCCCUAGCUGGUCUGAGAGGAUGACCAGCCACACUGGAACUGAGACACGGUCCAGACUCCUACGGGAGGCAGCAGUGGGGAAUAUUGCACAAUGGGCGCAAGCCUGAUGCAGCCAUGCCGCGUGUAUGAAGAAGGCCUUCGGGUUGUAAAGUACUUUCAGCGAGGAGGAAGGCAUUAAGGUUAAUAACCUUAGUGAUUGACGUUACUCGCAGAAGAAGCACCGGCUAACUCCGUGCCAGCCGCCGCGGUAAAAGGG